AACGAAAAGCCUUUUGGCAAGGUCAAGUAUAGUAUCUGUUCUGAUCAGUUUACUCUCUGACAUGUCCCUUGACUAGGGAAAUAUAUUAAUUUUUUUAAUUUCAUCAACUUGAUGGUGGGGCUAUUAAAAGAAAAGAGGAUUCUAUUUUGAGUGUUUCAGUGGCACAGUAGUAGUGUCCCUUC